GACGAACGCUGGCGGCGUGCUUAACACAUGCAAGUCGAACGAUGAUGCCAGCUUGCUGGUGGAUUAGUGGCGAACGGGUGAGUAACACGUGAGCAACCUGCCCCUGACUUCGGGAUAACCGCGGGAAACCGUGGCUAAUACCGGAUAUGACGCGCUAUCGCAUGGUGGUGUGUGGAAAGAUUUAUCGGUUGGGGAUGGGCUCGCGGCCUAUCAGCUUGUUGGUGGGGUGAUGGCCUACCAAGGCGACGACGGGUAGCCGGCCUGAGAGGGUGACCGGCCACACUGGGACUGAGACACGGCCCAGACUCCUACGGGAGGCAGCAGUGGGGAAUAUUGCACAAUGGGCGCAAGCCUGAUGCAGCGACGCCGCGUGAGGGAUGACGGCCGUCGGGUUGUAAACCUCUUUCAGUAGGGAGGAAGGCCUUCGGGUUGACGGUACCUGCAGAAGAAGCGCCGGCUAACUACGUG
rnacentral:rRNA from 1 species